UACGUAGGGGGCAAGCGUUGUUCGGAAUGACUGGGCGUAAAGGGUGCGUAGGCGGUGUAGCAAGUUAGAAGUGAAAUACCUAGAGCUUAACUCAGGUGCUGCUUCUAAAACUGCUAUACUUGAGUGCAGUAGAGGAAAGUGGAAUUCCUAGUGUAGCGGUGGAAUGCGUAGAUAUUAGGAAGAACACCAGUGGCGAAGGCGGCUUUCUGGACUGAAACUGACGCUGAGGCACGAAAGCGUGGGGAGCGAACAGG
rnacentral:rRNA from 1 species